GCCUAGCCCUGAUAGCAGCGGUAUCCUUUUUGUUUUUUCUUUAAAAACAAAAAGAUAUAGCGGAUAGCAGGAAAUAGC
rnacentral:sRNA from 1 species